rnacentral:rRNA from 1 species
UACGUAGGGCGCAAGCGUUGUCCGGAAUUAUUGGGCGUAAAGAGCUCGUAGGCGGUUUGUCGCGUCUGCUGUGAAAACCUAGGCUCAACCUUGGGCUUGCAGUGGGUACGGGCAGACUAGAGUGCGGUAGGGGUGACUGGAAUUCCUGGUGUAGCGGUGGAAUGCGCAGAUAUCAGGAGGAACACCGAUGGCGAAGGCAGGUCACUGGGCCGCAACUGACGCUGAGGAGCGAAAGCAUGGGGAGCGAACAGG